CAGCCGCCACGGUAAUACCGAGGGUGCAAGCGUUAUCCGGAUUUAUUGGGUUUAAAGGGUCCGUAGGCGGACUUAUAAGUCAGUGGUGAAAGCCUGUCGCUUAACGAUAGAACUGCCAUUGAUACUGUAAGUCUUGAGUAUAUUUGAGGUAGCUGGAAUAAGUAGUGUAGCGGUGAAAUGCAUAGAUAUUACUUAGAACACCAAUUGCGAAGGCAGGUUACCAAGAUAUAACUGACGCUGAGGGACGAAAGCGUGGGUAGCGAACAGGAUUAGAUACCCCGGUAGUCCCUGUCUCUUAUAC
rnacentral:rRNA from 1 species